CAUGCAAGUCGAGCGGUAGCACAGAGAGCUUGCUCUCGGGUGACGAGCGGCGGACGGGUGAGUAAUGUCUGGGAAACUGCCUGAUGGAGGGGGAUAACUACUGGAAACGGUAGCUAAUACCGCAUAACGUCGCAAGACCAAAGUGGGGGACCUUCGGGCCUCAUGCCAUCAGAUGUGCCCAGAUGGGAUUAGCUAGUAGGUGGGGUAACGGCUCACCUAGGCGACGAUCCCUAGCUGGUCUGAGAGGAUGACCAGCCACACUGGAACUGAGACACGGUCCAGACUCCUACGGGAGGCAGCAGUGGGGAAUAUUGCACAAUGGGCGCAAGCCUGAUGCAGCCAUGCCGCGUGUAUGAAGAAGGCCUUCGGGUUGUAAAGUACUUUCAGCGGGGAGGAAGGCGAUAAGGUUAAUAACCUUGUCGAUUGACGUUACCCGCAGAAGAAGCACCGGCUAACUCCGUGCCAGCAGCCGCGGUAAUACGGAGGGUGCAAGCGUUAAUCGGAAUUACUGGGCGUAAAGCGCACGCAGGCGGUCUGUCAAGUCGGAUGUGAAAUCCCCGGGCUCAACCUGGGAACUGCAUUCGAAACUGGCAGGCUAGAGUCUUGUAGAGGGGGGUAGAAUUCCAGGUGUAGCGGUGAAAUGCGUAGAGAUCUGGAGGAAUACCGGUGGCGAAGGCGGCCCCCUGGACAAAGACUGACGCUCAGGUGCGAAAGCGUGGGGAGCAAACAGGAUUAGAUAC
rnacentral:rRNA from 1 species